CGACGGGUGAGUAACGCGUGGGUAACCUGCCCUAUACACAUGGAUAACAUACUGAAAGUUUACUAAUACAUGAUAAUAUAUAUUUACGGCAUCGUAGAUAUAUCAAAGUGUUAGCGGUAUAGGAUGGACCCGCGUCUGAUUAGCUAGUUGGUGGGGUAAAGGCCUACCAAGGCGACGAUCAGUAGCCGGUCUGAGAGGAUGAACGGCCACAUUGGAACUGAGACACGGUCCAAACUCCUACGGGAGGCAGCAGUC
rnacentral:rRNA from 1 species